CUCAAUAAUAAAGAAAUGUGAAAAGACAGGAUGUGGGCACAACUACCCACCAACUUUGUGUUAUAUAUUGAAUUGUAUUAUGAGCUGUGAAAUACGAAUCCAACCUAAUAACAAAUAAUGGCUUCCAAGAGGCACUCUACUCUUGUUUUGGUGGUUCUCUUAUUUCUUUCUGUGUUGCUUCUUGCCGCUGAAGCAUCAUUGCCCAGAAAACUUGGUGCUGCUUCGGAUCCCCAUAGGUCAUCUCAAAAGGGGAGGACAUUCGUUUCCCAAGGAAUUACUGGCAAGAGUUGUGAUUGUGCACGUGGCCACAAUUUUUGUUGCUAGUUGCAUCUCUUGGAUGGCUUUCUAAAGCUACAUCAUCUUUGUCUCUUUUGUUGCUUGUUGAUUUGUUAGCCAAUAGUAAUAAUUCUGUUGUAUCUGGUAAUUGUUCUCAAAUUAAAGGAAUAAAAAAAGAAUUGGUUGAUGUUGCCUUCUUUGUUUGGACUGUAGUUUGGUUUAUUUUUCUGGAUUGUUUUUUUCU